CUUUUUUUUCAAACAUUUCUGGUAGUUUUGGUAGAUGAGGAGGGAAUAGUUAGAGCGGAUGUUCCUUUUAGAAGAGCAGGAUCCAAAUAUAGUGUUGAACAAGUAGGCGUGACGGUGGAGUUCUAUGGUGGCGAACUUAAUGGAGUAAGUUAUUCUGGUCCUGCUAUUGUAAGAAAAUAUGUGAGGCGUUCACAAUUAGGGGAAAUUUUUGAAUUAGACCGGGCUACUUUGAAAUCUGAUGGUGUUAUCGUAGCAGUCGAGGAGGUUGGUUCACUAUUGGUCAUGCUACCGUUGCUUUGCUCUUCAUUUUCACACAUAUUUGGUGUGGUGCUAGAACAUUGUUUUGAGAUGUUUUUGCUGGUAUUAAUCCAUAUUUGUAUUGAUCCAUAUUUGGAUGCUCAAAUGGAAUUUGGAAUAUUCCAAAAAGUGAGAAAUCCAACUAUAAGGAAACAGGCAGCCUGA
rnacentral:rRNA from 1 species